GGGCGAUUAGCUCAGCUGGUUAGAGUGCUGCCUUCACACGGCAGAGGUCACUGGUUCGAGUCCAGUAUCGCCCACCA
rnacentral:tRNA from 1 species